rnacentral:rRNA from 1 species
GAUGAACGCUAGCGGCGUGCCUAAUACAUGCGAGUCGAGCGAAUGGAUUAAGAGCUUGCUCUUAUGAAGUUAGCGGCGGACGGGUGAGUAACACGUGGGUAACCUGCCCAUAAGACUGGGAUAACUCCGGGAAACCGGGGCUAAUACCGGAUAACAUUUUGAACCGCAUGGUUCGAAAUUGAAAGGCGGCUUCGGCUGUCACUUAUGGAUGGACCCGCGUCGCAUUAGCUAGUUGGUGAGGUAACGGCUAACCAAGGCAACGAUGCGUAGCCGACCUGAGAGGGUGAUCGGCCACACUGGGACUGAGACACGGCCCAGACUCCUACGGGAGGCAGCAGUAGGGAAUCUUCCGCAAUGGACGAAAGUCUGACGGAGCAACGCCGCGUGAGUGAUGAAGGCUUUCGGGUCGUAAAACUCUGUUGUUAGGGAAGAACAAGUGCUAGUUGAAUAAGCUGGCACCUUGACGGUACCUAACCAGAAAGCCACGGCUAACUAUGUGCCAGCCGCCGCAGUAA